rnacentral:rRNA from 1 species
UUUAUAUUUUCUAGGUUGACCUCGGAUCAGGUAGGGAUACCCGCUGAACUUAAGCAUAUCAAUAAGCGGAGGAAAAGAAACCAACAGGGAUUGCCCUAGUAACGGCGAGUGAAGCGGCAAUAGCUCAAAUUUGAAAGCUGGCCUUUGGUCCGCAUUGUAAUUUGUAGAGGAUGCUUUUAGGCAGCCGCCGGUCUAAGUUCCUUGGAACAGGACGUCAUAGAGGGUGAGAAUCCCGUAUGUGACCGGCUCAGGCACCUUCUGUAAAGCUCCUUCGACGAGUCGAGUUGUUUGGGAAUGCAGCUCUAAAUGGGAGGUAAAUUUCUUCUAAAGCUAAAUACUGGCGAGAGACCGAUAGCGCACAAGUAGAGUGAUCGAAAGAUGAAAAGCACUUUGGAAAGAGAGUUAAAAAGCACGUGAAAUUGUUGAAAGGGAAGCGCUUGCAAUCAGACUUGGC